rnacentral:rRNA from 1 species
CCUACGGGAGGCUGCAGUGGGGAAUAUUGGACAAUGGGGGGAACCCUGAUCCAGCCAUGCCGCGUGUGUGAAGAAGGCCCUCGGGUUGUAAAGCACUUUCAGUGAGGAAGAACGCCUGGUGGUUAAUACCCAUCAGGAAAGACAUCACUCACAGAAGAAGCACCGGCUAACUCCGUGCCAGCAGCCGCGGUAAUACGGAGGGUGCGAGCGUUAAUCGGAAUUACUGGGCGUAAAGCGCGCGUAGGUGGCUUGAUAAGCCGGUUGUGAAAGCCCCGGGCUCAACCUGGGAACGGCAUCCGGAACUGUCAAGCUAGAGUGCAGGAGAGGAAGGUAGAAUUCCCGGUGUAGCGGUGAAAUGCGUAGAGAUCGGGAGGAAUACCAGUGGUGAAGGCGGCCUUCUGGACUGACACUGACACUGAGGUGCGAAAGCGUGGGUAGCAAACAGGAUUAGAUACCCGAGUAGUC